AUACAAUUUGUUCAAGUGGCUCCUCUAAUGGCUUUAGUCGAUGGCUCACUCUUAAGAACAGUGCUAUCAGCAUCCGGUUCCGUGGAUCUUUUCACCACUACAAUGACGGCAAAAGCGGAACAAGAAAGCAGUCCCGCAACCAAACUAUUCACGAGCACCCGAAAGCAGAUAACUUUCCAGCUGAAACGAAAAGUGCAGAAUUAAUGAGUUUCCAACAUUUCCGUCAACAAUCAAUAAAAGUUGAUUUCAAGUAAUUUCGCAAAUUUCAAUAUUAAUAAUAUUUCGGUUAAUUGUGAAGUUUACAGGCUCAGUUUUGCACAUGUUAAGCUUUUUCGUUUGGCGUAUUGCACCGUUGAGUUUGCUAUUUGCUAUUAAAUUGGUGCUCAUA